ACGAACGCUGGCGGCAUGCCUAACACAUGCCAGUCGAACGAGACCUUCGGGUCUAGUGGCGCACGGGUGCGUAACACGUGGGAAUCUGCCCUUUGCUUCGGAAUAACAGUUAGAAAUGACUGCUAAUACCGGAUGAUGUCGAAAGACCAAAGAUUUAUCGGCAAAGGAUGAGCCCGCGUAGGAUUAGGUAGUUGGUGGGGUAAAGGCCUACCAAGCCGACGAUCCUUAGCUGGUCUGAGAGGAUGAUCAGCCACACUGGGACUGAGACACGGCCCAGACUCCUACGGGAGGCAGCAGUGGGGAAUAUUGGACAAUGGGCGAAAGCCUGAUCCAGCAAUGCCGCGUGAGUGAUGAAGGCCUUAGGGUUGUAAAGCUCUUUUACCAGGGAUGAUAAUGACAGUACCUGGAGAAUAAGCUCCGGCUAACUCCGUG
rnacentral:rRNA from 1 species